GCUCAGGCAGGGAGGCGGUGUCCUCGGCGGCCUCGUCGAGGCCGUCGGCGAGCUGGGUCGAGCCGGUGACGAGCCGCUCGGUUCCGGUCGCGAGCCC
rnacentral:tRNA from 1 species